rnacentral:lncRNA from 10 species
CGCUCAUUGGUCGUCUAAGACCUCCCAGCAUUCCUCAAGACAUUUCUGCCUCAUGAUGUCAGAAGAAGGGCUGUCAAAUAGAUUUUAAAACCCCAGGCUCGGCCAGGCACAGUGGCUCACGCUUGUAAUCCCAGCACUUUGCGGGAAUCACGAGAGCAGAAGAUCGAGACCAUCCUGGCUAACACGAUGAAACCCCAUCUCUAAUAAAAAUACAAAAAAUUAACUGGGCAUCCUGGCAGACGCCUGUAGUCCCAGCUACUCGGGAGGCUGUGGCAGGAGAAUGGCGUGAACCCGGGGAGGCAGAGCUUGCGGUGAGCAGAGAUCACACAACUGCACUCCAGCCUGGGCAACAGAGCGAGACUCCAUCUCAAAAAAAAAAAAAAAAGACUUGGCUCCUCACUUGUAUUGUGGGAAUCCCAGCCUAAAUUGGACAUGUGGAUGUUGAGCAAUAGAGGACAGACAAACAAAGGAAUCUCCAGACCCUGCAGGACCCAAGGCAGCAGCCCACGAGUGGAUCCUAAAGGAUUUUCAUCAGCUGCAAGUCUGGGGAAGGACACACCUGUCAC